rnacentral:lncRNA from 1 species
GGCGUCAUAUGGAAACCAGGCUUUACAGCGAGCAAUAAUCUAAUAUAAUGUUCUGUUGUCCUUUUGUUUAGCAAUGUAACGAUGUCGUUUUAAUGUCAUAUCUUGCUACUAUAACUAAAGGAUGCAACACCAUGAACGAGGUGAGCUGUGGAAAUUAUCAUGGUUUGUUCAAAAUGAUUCUAUUCUACAGUAACUCUAAGGCCCCAGUUACACGAUACCGGAUUCGCAUCGGAGCUAGUCGAGCAACAUCAACUAAGACGCUUUCCGGCCUCUCACAACUUUUCAUAUUUGACGUUUUUGACUAAUUCUGUUAUAUUAUCAUAAUUUUGAGUGCUAAACUCCCCUAAAAACUGUAAAAUUUAAUGUCGCUGAUCUAACUUUUUAGUUUAUCACGAAGUUCAACGUUGUCUAUGACCGUCACGGAGUUGGUCGUCGGAUGAGAGGACUCUUUUUUUGAAAUUCACUACAUCCUUAACGUCAAGAUUUUGUUAUAACAUUUGUUGUUUCUUCUGAAGGAAUUGUACAUAAUGGUUUAUUAAACCAUGAUAACAAUCGUGACAAUAACUUGUUGGCAAACAAGAUAUAUCAUCGAACGAAACAGAUCGCCGUAAAGAUAAAUCAUUCAUGAUUCAUGCAUGAACUUUUUUGCUUGUAAUGAAACGAUUUACAGCCAGUGAAAUAACGGUCGACUGUCCUGUCAAUCUGCGUCCAAAUUGCAGAUUUUUCAAUCAAAUUUUCAGUCGUUUCAGAAUCGUUUUCCGUACAAAACAUAGCGAUAAGUUUUCUCAAAUACUUGGUUAACCAAACACAUCUAAACAUCCCGCUAAGAAUACUGUAUGACAUCACAAUACUUUUCUGUAACAAAACAUUUCCAUAAUAAUUACUGUAAUUAAUAACCAUAUUGAAAAACGUAUACAAAGACUAUUUCCCAUAUGCUGUAUAGUAUAAACAUGAACGUUUGCCUGACCUGGUUUUAAAAUGAACCGAAAAUAUGCCUGUCGACAUUUGAAAAAUUGAGGUCAAAUUUGAUCGGACUUUUUCCGGAAAAUUUUGACCGUUAUUUCAGGCUUUGUGAUUCGCCCAUCGUAAAAUAUUGGGCAGGAGCAGAGUGUUAAAAGACUGGUGAAAAUUUAACAGAAAAAUUGAACCUUAUAUAUAAGGCCAACAGUUUGUCUUACAUGACUUUCUAUUUCUCGUGUCAUAGCUUGAAUCAUAGUUAUUUGGCAUGCCCUUCAAUAACAAUUCAGUGCAUGAUCGCAAUGUAUAGUAUAUCGUCGCACUUGUGAUGUUUUCAUUAUGCUACCUCGAAAAUACUUGGUGGGACACUGAGGAGUUUGCACCUGUUUUGCGCAGGCUCCAGGGCACCGCACUAUCGUUCUGGGGCCGGUUGUUCAAAGGUGGGUUACCGCUAACCCUGGGUUAAAAUUUAACAUGCUGUUUUAGUUUGUGUAUUUCUGCACGUCUGUUUAUUUCAAAACUUCAGAGUAGUAAACUCCUAUCUAUCCAGACAAGAUCUCUGAAGAAAUAUUCCCAAAUUUAAAGACAUGCUUGUCAGGAUGUUUGCUUUGAAUUUUAGGUUAACCUAGGGUUAAGCUAACCUAGCUUUGAACAACCGGCCCCAGUAGUACUUUGUCUGGUUUGCACGUGGGACGCAUGAAGCCGGCCGAAUUCGAACGUAGUCAAAUAUACGAAUUCCUGUGUGAAUAAGUGGAACCAGACGAGUUUGCGGGGUAUGAUUCCGAAUUCUCUCGGUCCCAUAUGAACGUAAUUGUUCGUGGUAUCGGUAUUUGAGUUUAAUAAUCUACAUUUUAUUUGUCUGAAAAUCCUGAAAUCAACCUUAAAAACAACAAUGUAAACAGUGUAAAAUCAAGAUGGUGUUCACGAGACUAUAAACGUUCGAAAAUAACGAUGUAUAAAGGCUUGAAAAUAUCAACAUUAUGUACUGCUUAAAACACGAGCAGGAGUGUUUUAUCAGAUAUAAAACGCGAGAGCGCAGCUCGAGUUAUUGGGCGAACCAAUUAAGUCAUGUCGAAUUGUUAAAUUAAGAAAUUGCAAAUAUUGGGGAAAUUUUAGCUUCCUCCUGAGACUCGCACUCGUUUCACAGCUCUCGCUUUUUCUUGCAUAUCACUCACGUUGAUUCCUUCUGUUAUUGGGUUUUACUCUGUUGCACGACGAAUGUGAUAAAAAAUCAUGUUCAUUUUCUCGACUUAGACAACGUUUAGUUUUAAAAUUACUUCACCAAUGAACUCAUCAGAAUAUCAGAUGGGUCGUUUUUUAAGCCAUUUAAAACAUUCGCAGUCCGUCCUUAUCAGGAGUGCAACAGAGUAAAACCCAAUAACAGAAGGAAUCAACGUGAGU